AAUGACCUGAACAUGAAUGAAUAUUAUACUUCUCGUCAUCCGGAUAUACAAAAAAAUUAUGCCUCUGAUUAUCCAUAUUUUCACAAAUCUACGAAGAAAAUAAAAUCUAUAGGUGAAAACUUAUCUUUCAGCGACAAAUUCGGCCUCUGGUUUUUUGAACAUCGUCAUAUAAUCUAUACUUCAUUAUUUUUUACCGGAAGCACAUUAAUAACACUAUCCAUUAUUUGUUCAGCAGUAAAAGUCGCCAGAAGAUAUAAG
rnacentral:lncRNA from 1 species